rnacentral:rRNA from 1 species
UACGUAGGGCGCGAGCGUUGUCCGGAAUUAUUGGGCGUAAAGAGCUCGUAGGCGGUCUGUCGCGUCGGAUGUGAAAGCCCGGGGCUUAACCCCGGGUCUGCAUUCGAUACGGGCAGACUAGAGUGUGGUAGGGGAGAUCGGAAUUCCUGGUGUAGCGGUGAAAUGCGCAGAUAUCAGGAAGAACACCCGUGGCUAAGGCGGCUCUCUAGUACGGUACUGACGCUGAGACGCGAAAGCGUGGGGAGCGAACAGG